GAUGAACGCUGGCGGCGUGCCUAAUACAUGCAAGUCGAGCGAACGGACGAGAAGCUUGCUCCUCUGACGUUAGCGGCGGACGGGUGAGUAACACGUGGAUAACCUACCUAUAAGACUGGGAUAACUUCGGGAAACCGGAGCUAAUACCGGAUAAUAUAUUGAACCGCAUGGUUCAAUAGUGAAAGACGGUUUUGCUGUCACUUAUAGAUGGAUCCGCGCUGCAUUAGCUAGUUGGUAAGGUAACGGCUUACCAAGGCAACGAUGCGUAGCCGACCUGAGAGGGUGAUCGGCCACACUGGAACUGAGACACGGUCCAGACUCCUACGGGAGGCAGCAGUAGGGAAUCUUCCGCAAUGGGCGAAAGCCUGACGGAGCAACGCCGCGUGAGUGAUGAAGGUCUUCGGAUCGUAAAACUCUGUUAUUAGGGAAGAACAAAUGUGUAAGUAACUAUGCACGUCUUGACGGUACCUAAUCAGAAAGCCACGGCUAACUACGUG
rnacentral:rRNA from 1 species